GCGAAAACUUUACAAUGCUGGCAACAGCGAUAAGGGAACCUCGAGUGCCAGGUUACAAAUCUGGCUGUCGUGAUGCCUAAAAAGCAUUGCAUAGCAAGGGCCGGGCAAGACCGGUGCCAGCCGCCGCGGUAACACCGGCGGCUCGAGUGGUAACCGUUAUUAUUGGGUCUAAAGGGUCUGUAGCCGGCCGGAUAAGUCUCUUGAGAAAUCUGGCAGCUUAACUGUCAGGCUUUCAGGAGAUACUGUCUGGCUCGAGGCCGGGAGAGGUGAGAGGUACUUCAGUGGUAGGGGUGAAAUCUUGUAAUCCUUGAAGGACCACCAGUGGCGAAGGCGUCUCACCAGAACGGACCUGACGGCAAGGGACGAAAGCUAGGGGCACGAACC
rnacentral:rRNA from 1 species